rnacentral:rRNA from 1 species
GGGGCGAUGGCCUGAACCAGACCAAGUAGCGUGAAGGAUGACUGCCCUAUGGGUUGUAAACUUCUUUUAUAAAGGAAUAAAGUCGGGUAUGCAUACCCGUUUGCAUGUACUUUUAUGAAUAAGGAUCGGCUAACUCCGUGCCAGCAGCCGCGGUAAUACGGAGGAUCCGAGCGUUAUCCGGAUUUAUUGGGUUUAAAGGGAGCGUAGAUGGAUGUUUAAGUCAGUUGUGAAAGUUUUGCGGCUCAACCGUAAAAUUGCAGUUGAUACUGGAUGUCUUGAGUGCAGUUGAGGCAGGCGGAAUUCGUGGUGUAGCGGUGAAAUGCUUAGAUAUCACGAAGAACUCCGAUUGCGAAGGCAGCCUGCUAAGCUGCAACUGACAUUGAGGCUCGAAAGUGUGGGGUAUCAAACAGGAUUAGAUACCCUGGUAGUCCACACGGUAAACGAUGAAUACUCGCUGUUUGCGAUAUACGGCAAGCGGCCAAGCGAAAGCGUUAAGUAUUCCACCUGGGG